AUAAACAAUUGCGGUUAUGUUCAAUUUUUACGUAAAUAAUAAUUAUACGUUAAUUUGAUAAUUUGUAUUUUUUUAAUUUUACUUUUUAGUAUUUACGUUCUAAGUAGUUAGUUUUUGUAUAAUUAAAUAAUAUGUUCUUUACCCUGUACAGUAUACAAAUUACAGAUUUAAACAGUUCUCUUUAGAUGUGGUCUUCAUCAGUCAUUCUUAUAGUCAUUGGAAACAACCGGUACAAUGUAUCGAUAAAUAAUUGAAACCAUUGCAAAAAAAAAGUUAAAUUCAUGCUAUCUACAACAUUCAUAUUCAAAUCUUCAUAACUUAAAUCAUUUAGCAAGAUACAGUAACUGAAGUAUACAUGUAUCCAGGCCAAUAAGGAGAUUAUUCUGUUUGGAAAAACAUCUGAAAAAACUGUUCCUACUAACAUAAUUGUUUAUCCGUCUGCAAAGAAGAGAUUCCAGAUAAAUUAGUAUAA